rnacentral:rRNA from 1 species
UACGGAGGAUGCAAGUGUUAUCCGGAAUCACUGGGCGUAAAGCGUCUGUAGGUGGUCAAAUAAGUCAACUGUUAAAUCUUGAGGCUCAACCUCAAAAUCGCAGUCGAAACUAUUAGACUAAAGUAUAGUAGGGGUAAAGGGAAUUUCCAGUGGAGCGGUGAAAUGCGUAGAGAUUGGAAAGAACACCGAUGGCGAAGGCACUUUACUGGGCUAUUACUAACACUCAGAGACGAAAGCUAGGGUAGCAAAUGGG